rnacentral:rRNA from 1 species
GGAAGGUGGGGACCCCGGUCACCGUUUUUUAUUUUUUUUUUUCGCUCAGAACGAACGCUGGCGGCAGGCUUAACACAUGCAAGUCGAACGCCCCGCAAGGGGAGUGGCAGACGGGUGAGUAACGCGUGGGAACAUACCCUUUCCUGCGGAAUAGCUCCGGGAAACUGGAAUUAAUACCGCAUACGCCCUACGGGGGAAAGAUUUAUCGGGGAAGGAUUGGCCCGCGUUGGAUUAGCUAGUUGGUGGGGUAAAGGCCUACCAAGGCGACGAUCCAUAGCUGGUCUGAGAGGAUGAUCAGCCACAUUGGGACUGAGACACGGCCCAAACUCCUACGGGAGGCAGCAGUGGGGAAUAUUGGACAAUGGGCGCAAGCCUGAUCCAGCCAUGCCGCGUGAGUGAUGAAGGCCUUAGGGUUGUAAAGCUCUUUCACCGGAGAAGAUAAUGACGGUAUCCGGAGAAGAAGCCCCGGCUAACUUCGUGCCAGCAGCCGCGGUAAUACGAAGGGGGCUAGCGUUGUUCGGAAUUACUGGGCGUAAAGCGCACGUAGGCGGAUAUUUAAGUCAGGGGUGAAAUCCCAGAGCUCAACUCUGGAACUGCCUUUGAUACUGGGUAUCUUGAGUAUGGAAGAGGUAAGUGGAAUUCCGAGUGUAGAGGUGAAAUUCGUAGAUAUUCGGAGGAACACCAGUGGCGAAGGCGGCUUACUGGUCCAUUACUGACGCUGAGGUCGAAAAGAGG